UACGAAGGGGGCUAGCGUUGCUCGGAAUCACUGGGCGUAAAGCGCACGUAGGCGGAUCUUUAAGUCAGGGGUGAAAUCCUGGAGCUCAACUCCAGAACUGCCUUUGAUACUGAGGAUCUUGAGUCCGGGAGAGGUGAGUGGAACUCCGAGUGUAGAGGUGAAAUUCGUAGAUAUUCGGAAGAACACCAGUGGCGAAGGCGGCUCACUGGCCCGGUACUGACGCUGAGACGCGAAAGCGUGGGGAGCGAACAGG
rnacentral:rRNA from 1 species